CGGGCUGGGUGUGAUGUGGGUUUGGUGUCGCCUGACAGGCAUAUCAAAGUACAGCACACACUAGUGCCGCAAUUCCUGGCAAGUGAUGGAAUGGAGCGCUAAUCCUUUGGAGGGCAGGCACAAACGCGGGAGUUGUUUCUUCAGGGCACGGUGCCUGCUGCUAAAUCCCUUCUCUACCUCUACCGGCUGUCUGCUGCCGCGGCACCCCGACCCCUGGCCCAGUUCUUCCGGCACUAUUGAUGAAUGAGGGGGCAGCGAUGUGUGAGUCACGCAAGAGAAUUGUGUGCGCUGCGCCGGUGUGUGCGCGGCACCGGACAGCCCGUUGUGUGUCGAUGUGGGAAGUUGUGCGCGUUUGAGGUAAUAGCACACGUCUGAGUGGAGCUCGGCUGCCGGCCCAUAGAAGAUGGUGAAAUAUCUGAGAAAGACCCGGCCUCUCUCCGAAGCCACAAGGACAAACUCAUAUCCGCAUUCGCAUGUGGCUCCUGCCAGUUCGGCGCUCCCUCCCCAGAAAGCUGAUCUGUCGGAGUUUUUGUUCCAGGUUGUGGCUGUUGCAAAUCCAUUACAUCAGAUAAAAGAAGGGACGGAAAUCUGAUGCUGCCUCAGAUCCCGUUGGGGUUGUCAAAGACAAGCGGAUGAAAAAUAGAGGAUUACUCCACUCUCUCCUUAUUAAGUCACCGCAGAUGGAGGGACCGUUGCAGCCAUAUGUCCCAGCAUCAGUCCCCCCCUUUUUUUUUAUUUUCCUAAUCUGAUGCAAUACGCUUAGGGGAGAACUCCUCAAAAACGAUAACUUGCUCAGACUCGCACACUCAUAAGAAAAUAAAUAAAGCAGUAUUGCACCAUUUUUAUGGUAAGUUUUAUACUUAUAGCCCAGCAUUAAGAGGAAGGAAACAUUUCUCCCCUUUUUAUAAAAUGACUGUUUUACCCCAAAGCUUAUAUCCUUU
rnacentral:lncRNA from 1 species